GACGAACGCUGGCGGCGUGCCUAAUACAUGCAAGUCGAACGGAAAGGCCCUGAUCUUGCUGGGCGCUCGAGUGGCGCACGGGUGUGUAACACGCGAGUAACCUCCCCCUGUCUUUGGGAUAACUUCACGAAACUGGGGCUCAUACCGCAUAGAAGCUACUGCUGCAUGGGGGUGGUUGGAAAGUUUGGGCGGUUGGGGAUGGACUGGCGGCUUAUCAGCUUGUUGGUGGGGUAGUGGCUUACCAAGCUUUCGACGGGUAGCCCGCCUGAGAGGGUGACCGGCCACAAGGGGACUGAGAGACGCCGCAGAAGGCAACGGGAGGCAAUGGGGGAGAGUAUGGCGGAGUGGGCGCAAGCGAGAUGCGACAGCGCCGCGUGCGUGAUGCCCGCCUUCGGGGUGUGAACCGCUUUCGCAGGAGACAAAGCGUGAGUGACGGUAAUGGGUCAAGAAGCACCGGCUAACUACGUG
rnacentral:rRNA from 1 species